rnacentral:rRNA from 1 species
UACGUAGGGUCCGAGCGUUGUCCGGAAUUACUGGGCGUAAAGAGCUCGUAGGUGGUUUGUCACGUUGUUCGUGAAAACUCACAGCUCAACUGUGGGCGUGCGGGCGAUACGGGCAGACUAGAGUACUGCAGGGGAGACUGGAAUUCCUGGUGUAGCGGUGGAAUGCGCAGAUAUCAGGAAGAACACCCGUGGCGAAGGCGGUUCUCUGGGACGGUACUGACGCUGAGACGCGAAAGCGUGGGGAGCGAACAGG